GAAGUUGGCCAGACCGCCGCUGGCGCUAGUCCCGAAAGGGCGCGCUGGAGGAACGUCCGGACUGCACAGGGCAGCGUAGGAGGUAACACCUCUCCACCGUGAGGUGAGGAUCAGAGCAACAGAGACGAGUCGCAGCGGGGUAACCCGAUGCGGGUGAAACGGGCAAUCUCUACGCGCAGCAAUACCAAAUAGGCACACGCUGACGGGGCCCCCCGAGUGUGCGGGUAGGUAGCACCGAGCCGGUGGGGCGACCCCCGGCCCAGAUUAAUGGCGGUCACACCGCAGGCAACUGCGGCGCACAGAAUCCGGCUUAUCGGCCAACUUCACAC
rnacentral:RNase_P_RNA from 1 species